rnacentral:rRNA from 1 species
GUGGGGAAUAUUGGACAAUGGGCGAAAGCCUGAUCCAGCAAUGCCGCGUGAGUGAUGAAGGCCUUAGGGUUGUAAAGCUCUUUUACCCGGGAUGAUAAUGACAGUACCGGGAGAAUAAGCUCCGGCUAACUCCGUGCCAGCAGCCGCGGUAAUACGGAGGGAGCUAGCGUUGUUCGGAAUUACUGGGCGUAAAGCGCACGUAGGCGGCGAUUCAAGUCAGAGGUGAAAGCCCGGGGCUCAACCCCGGAACUGCCUUUGAAACUAGGUAGCUAGAAUCUUGGAGAGGUCAGUGGAAUUCCGAGUGUAGAGGUGAAAUUCGUAGAUAUUCGGAAGAACACCAGUGGCGAAGGCGACUGACUGGACAAGUAUUGACGCUGAGGUGCGAAAGCGUGGGGAGCAAACAGGAUUAGAUACCCGGGUAGUCC